GUAGCAAAAUCAUUUGUUUUUUAAUUGAAAACUGGAAUGAAAGGUUGAACAUAUAAAAUCUUGUUUUUCUUGUGAGUUUAUAAUUUACGUUUUGUGUAAGAAUGCAUAAUUGAUUAAAAGGGACGAUAAGACCCUAAAAGCUUUAUUAUUUAAUUUUUUAUUUCUAUUUUUUUUAUAUGGUAAAAUUUUUUAUAUUUUGGCUGGGGCAGUUGUUUUUUUUAAUAAAAAUUUUUUUAACUUUUGGAUAAAGGUUCCUUUAUAUGGGGAUAAUUUGUUUAAGUUACUUUAGGGAUAACAGCGCAAUAAUAACGGGGAGGCCUUAUUUAUGUUAUUGUUUGCGACCUCGAUGUUGAAUUAAGUUUCUUUAUAGUGCAGUGUCUAUAAUUUGUGGGUUUGUUCAACCAUUAAAAAUUU
rnacentral:rRNA from 1 species